UGUUUUGUGGCAAGCUUAAGGCUAGUGCAUGCAUUUAAAUACAGAACUCUUCAGCUGCGCUGACUGCACGCACCAUACAUGCUGCUGGUGGUAGGAAAUUAAACACUUUCGAGCCACUCUAGCACAGUCUCAUGUGGUUUCCACCACUGCAACAGUUUUUUUUUCAUCACUAACUCAUGUAUGUCUAAAAUAUAAAAAAUAAUGAGAAGCCUUAAACAAGCCAGUGGCCUGGCCCAUGUCUGAACUAUGACAUGAAAACUGGCCCGAAGGCCGGCCCAAGGGGUAGUCAAAAGAUCGAGGCCCAUCAUGUCCAGGCUGGAAUGCAGGACUCUAGCUUUAACAUAGAUGCACUCACAGAAUAGCACUCAUUCUAGG